GACGAACCGUGCGAACGUUGUUCGGAAUCACUGGGCUUAAAGGGCGCGUAGGCGGGCUCACAAGUCAGGGGUGAAAUCCCACGGCUCAACCGUGGAAGUGCCUUUGAUACUGUGGGGCUUGAGGGAGGUAGGGGCGUGCGGAACUUCCGGUGGAGCGGUGAAAUGCGUAGAGAUCGGAAAGAACACCAACGGCGAAAGCACUCUGCUGGGCCGACACUGACACUGAGAGACGAAAGCUAGGGGAGCAAAUGGG
rnacentral:rRNA from 1 species